GUGAGGAAUAUUCCGCAAUGGGGGAAACCCUGACGGAGCAAUGCCGCGUGCAGGAUGAAGGCCCUCGGGUCGUAAACUGCUUUUAUAUGAGAAGAAUAUGACGGUAACAUAUGAAUAAGGGACGGCUAACUACGUGCCAGCAGCCGCGGUCAUACGUAGGUCCCAAGCGUUAUCCGGAGUGACUGGGCGUAAAGAGUUGCGUAGGCGGCUCGUUAAGAGUGAAAUGAAAUUUAUCGGCUCAACCGGUAAACUAUUUCGCGAACUGACGGGCUCGAGAGUAUGAGAGGUUACUGGAAUUUCUAGUGUAGCAGUGAAAUGCGUAGAUAUUAGAAAGAACACCAACGGCGUAGGCAGGUAACUGGCAUACAUCUGACGCUGAGGCACGAAAGCGUGGGGAGCGAACCGGAUUAGAUACCCUUGUAGUCC
rnacentral:rRNA from 1 species